UGAGAUGAAAUGAAGGCUGGGACUUUGGGCUCCGAGGCCACGACCCCCGCAGUCCCACAGCAAGGCUCCCUGGGAUAUGUAGGCGCCUCCGGACGCAGGGACACCGGGGGGUCUGCCUCGUCGGGGAGGAUGGCGUGCCGAUUCCAUUUGACUGAGUGACUUAAUUCCUGAAAUGCUGCAACAUCAGUAGAAAACAACAAAGAUGGCGUCCGGCUUCACUCUCCCUCUUCGUUUGCCGUCGGCAGCAGAAACCGAACAG